rnacentral:lncRNA from 1 species
UCAGGAUUAGCAGGCUAAGAUUACUUGUCAGUCGGAGUAAAAAGACCAGGGAAGAAGAGGUCCAUCACAGUAAGCUGUGGACAUGACAUGGAUGCUGCUUUGUCACCUCACAUGCCAUCAGCUCCCAGUAUCCAUCCAUGACUGAAGCCAAGGAUGAGAAGCUUCUUUCUGCCUGGGAGCUGGCCAGAUGAGCUUUGCAGAUUUGAAGAAGCUUAGAAUGGUAGGAGAUGGCCAUUAAAGAGAGCUGAUAAAGGUAAGUGGUACUUGAGUUUUAAACUAGUUAGGGAUACUUUAUUCUGGCCAUAUCAAGAU